GAUUGAUUAAGUGUUAAGAGCAUGUAAAAGGUGUUUCACGAAUUGAAGUUUUCUUGUGGUAUGAUUGAUUAAGUGUUUAGAGCAUGUAAAAGGUAUUUCACGAAUUGAAGUUUUCUUGUGGUAUGAUUAAUUAAGUGUUUAGAGCAUGUAAAAGGUGUUUCACGAAUUGAAGUUUUGCAAAACAGGAUGUUGUUUUAUAACAUAUAGCAAAAACAAAGUGAAUGAAGUUUCAACAGAAAAUUUAAACCUGGGGAAACGGAAAGUAAGAUUUGUGUCGUUUAUGAUUAAUAUGAAAUGAUGUCCUGUUUAUAUUCAUUCGUCACCAUUGCCAGUAGAUGUUUUUGUUUCUAUUAAAUAUUGUAACGAAAACAAUUCAUUGUCUUAUGUUAUCUGUGACUAUAAAUGUUAGCUAUGACUAUGAGAA